rnacentral:rRNA from 1 species
GAUGAACGCUGGCGGCGUGCCUAAUACAUGCAAGUCGAGCGAACAGACGAGGAUUUCGCCCGUCUUACGUUAGCGGCGGAUGGGUGAGUCACACGAAGAUAACCUACCUAUAGGAAUAAGAUCACGUCGGGAAACCGGAGAUAAUACCCGAUAAGAUGUUGAACCGCAUGGAUCAUCAGUGCUCGCCGGACUUGAUGACACUAAUUGAUAGUUCCGCGCCGGAUUAGCUAGUUGGUAAGGUAACGGCUUACCAAGGCAACGAUGCGUAGCCGACCUGAGAGGGUGAUCGGCCACACUGGAACUGAGACACGGUCCAGACUCCUACGGGAGGCAGCAGUAGGGAAUCUUCCGCAAUGGGCGAAAGCCUGACGGAGCAACGCCGCGUGAGUGAAGAAGGUCUUCGGAUCGUAAAACUCUGUUAUUAGGGAAGAACAAAUGUGUAAGUAACUAUGCACGUCUUGACGGUACCUAAUCAGAAAGCCACGGCUAACUACGUG